rnacentral:lncRNA from 1 species
CAUGCCAUCAUCCAAUCCAAGGGUUUCGGUGUCAAACGCUAAACACAAGUAGUGUCUAAUGUGCCAAAUUUUUCUAGCGGGGACCAUUAUGAUAUUGACAAGCCAACAGCACUAGACCAGAGUGCAAUCUGUACAUGCUGCCAUGAUUUAUACAAUUACCAUCUUACUAAGCAAAGGAAAUUAGGCAACCAAAAAAAUACAAAAAGCGCAGAAAAAAUUGUUGAAUCUCAUCAUCUUUCAAGCGAAAUUUCUCAGGAUUCCUUUUCAGUAACACCUCAAUCCACUUUCUGGCAAGGGUAAUUCUCCCUAAUCACAUGUUUAUGAAAUGCUUAAUCCCUUGCCCUCUCAUCAGUUUGUUAUAUAUGUUGACAUUUAGCGAACCCACCUUUCCUUUUUCUUGCACAUGAGUUGGUGAGGCACACAUUUUCUUCCCAACUGGAUAGAUUUGUGUGCAUGGGAAUUUAGUUAGAAGAUAGAGAGAUAUAUAGGAAUCACAGGCAGUUGUAAAUUAGGGUUCAUUUUGAUGUUAUAGAAUUCAAUGUAAUUCCUCUGACGUUGCGGAAAAUACCAAUCCUAGAACAUCUGGAAUCUAACAGAAAGGAGAGAAAAUCGUCUAUGAAUCAUGUCGGUUGAUUCAUAGAUGGAAUUCUACAGCUCCAACUACUAUGAGGCUGGUGAUCUUGGUGAGUAUAAGUUAACCCUUAUGCUGAUACUCAUGAUCAUCAUGCUUCUCUAGAUCAGGGACCAAUAUCAUAUAAUUAUUCUAGCUAUGAGCCCCCUACCCAAAAUUUCUUUCAGUAUGAUACAACUCCAUCUCAAUACUAUCAUGCUUGUCAUAAUUCUUACACCAAACCUCUUUCCACUAUUACAACCCAAAUGUUUAUAACCCGAGUUAUGAUAAUGAAGUAACUCAGUUUAUGAUCUUUUAUUCCGUUUCUUUCGAGUUUAAUGAGCCCGAAUUUGAAGAAUAUGAUCCUACAACUUAUGAUGGUGGAUUUGAUAUCGCCCAAAAACCUACGGAAAGCCCCUUUUGCCUUCACUUGAAACUUGUUAUCCACGUUCUUCUGGGCCUGCUGCCUUAAAUCCCUCCUCUUUCGAUGGUGUCACUGAUGGCUAUCGUGCCGUUGAGUGGUAAGCAAGAAACUGCUGAGCAAGCACCAAAACCCAUAAAUGGAAGUGAACUGAUAUGGGCCGUUGAAGAAGAGAAGCAGCUGUAAGGAGUAGUCAAUCUAAGGGAUAUUCUCUUGACAUGUGUCAUAAGAUUAGGCAAUUAGUUAAGGGUUUGUUAUAUCUGUUAGCUUAGUCUGUAAGCUACCUUAGUUACACAUAUAUAUACUACAAUGUAAAUGUACUGUGUAAUGUGUGUAAAAAGAUUAAUACAAACAAGAUUACUUCUCUCUCUAAGUUCUCUCUCUCUAUCUCUCUCUCUCUUUCUAUCUCUGUAUUCAUCUUCUCUACUACAACAGAUCAUUCUUGCUUAACAUGGUAUCAAUCGCCAUUUAAGCUUCAUCAGCUCUCUCACCGGUACAAGUGUAUAGACUUGACGGUUCUUCGAUCUUGGAAUUUUUGCUUCCGUUAUUACUUCAAUCUUCUCGUGUUCUCUUCUUGUUCUUCUAUCGCAAGUUCUUUCUUUCUGCUUUAGGGUUCUGUAUCUCUAAUUUUGGAAUAUUUUCUUCGUUGCAAGUUGUGCACACCAACUGUUUAUGUUUUGUUCUCUGUACAUCAUUUUCUUGAAGAUUCAACAAUGGUGACCGCCAAUCAGUAACAGAUAUUGCAAUCCUAUUACUUCUCUAAUUUCAUCGGUCUCAACCUCUGAAACCAUGAAAUUGGAUGAUACAAAUUACUUGACUUGGCAUUUCCAAAUGCAACUUUUACUGGAAGGUCAUGGAAUUAUGGGGGUUGUUGAUGGUUCAACACCAUGUCCAUCUCGGUUUCUUACUCCAAAUUCUGGUGAUACCGAACUCUUUCCUGGACAACAGUCUGAUAAGUCUUGUGCUUGCAAGGAAUCUGAUGAAUAUAUGGUUUGGAGGAUGCAUGAUAGAGCAUUGAUGCAGCUUAUCACAGCUACUUUAUCACCACCAACCAUUUCCUGUGCCAUUGGAAGCACAAGUGCUCAGGAUCUGUGGACUCGUCUCAAGGAACAAUUUUCUACUGUUACUCGGACAAGCAUAUUUCAUGAAAUCUGAGUUGCAAACUAUCAAGAAAGGUACUGAUUCCAUUAAUAUGUAUCUUCAACGAAUCAAAGAAGCUAGGGAUUAUUUGUCUGAUGCUGGUGUCUAUUUUGAAGAUGAUGAUAUUGUGAUCCUUACACUUAAUGGUCUACUAUCCGAGUAUAAUACAAUCAGGUCUGUGAUAAGGAGGCGUGAAUCUGUUAUUUCUCUUAAAAAUCUUCGGUCAUAAUUGCUUGCUGAAGAAGUGAGACUAUUCAUCCUGCUCUAAUGGUUAAUGCAUUAGUGGCUCAUUCACCUAAUUUUACUCAGAGACCUUCCAAUGUUCAGUCUCAGGCACAAUCUGGUCGGCCAUACACUUCCUAUAACUCCAACUCUGGUUACAAAUCUUUCACCAAUAAGAACAAGGGCAGAUUUAAUUCGAAUAAUAGGUUCAAUCACUCAAAGCAAGCUUUCAAUAAUGGUAAUCCUGCUUCUGGAAUCCUUGGUGCUGCUCCACAGUCUGGCCAUCCUCCUGUCAUCCCUUGUCAAAUUUGUGGGAAAACAAAUCAUUUGGCUGAUACUUGUCGAUUCAGAAAUGUAUCUCAAGGGUGUCAAAUUUGUGGCAAGAACAAUCACAUGGCUGCUACUUGCAGAUUUAGAGAUGCAUCUCAAUCUCAUGGUUGUCAAAUAUGUGGGAAUCCAAAUCAUAGUGCUGAGUUCUGUUUUUAGAAAGGAUCCUCUCCAAUGACUGCAAUGUAUGUCAACAAUGCUUCUGGGAAUUCAAUAUCAACUUCAUUGCCCUUUGCCCCACCUCCACAAGUUUGGAUUACUGAUACGGGUGCUACAAAUCAUAUGACCAUCGAUUUGAAUAAUCUUUCUCUCGCUACAUCAUAUCCAUCUCAUGAAGUCACACAACCAAUGGUGAAGGUUUAUCCAUCUCUUAUAUUGGCUUUUCCACUCUUCAAACUCCACUACAGUCAUUUCAAUUAAAAUCUAUUCUCUAUGUUCCGAAGUUGACACAAAAUUUGCUAUUUGUCCAUCAAUAUGUUUGGAUAAUAAUUGCUGGUUAAUCUUUGAUGCCUUUUGUUUCUGGAUUCAGGACAAAACCACAGGGAGGAUUUUGUACAAAGGGCAGUGCCGUAAUGGGUUAUAUCCGAUCAUUUCUCCAUCAGAUCCAGUUUCAACACAAAAGGCUUAUGUGGCUGCAUAUCUUGGACAACAAGUUACAUCCAGACUUUGGCAUCACCAAUUAGGUCAUCCCUCUAAUACCAUUGUAUCUCAGAUUCUUCGAAAAUCCAAUGUCUCUCAUACCCCUGAUUCGUUACCUAUUGUUUGUUCUCCAUGUCUAGAAGGCAAAUUUAGUAAACUUCCCUUUCCCGUGUCUUCAUCCAAAUCUGCAAAACCUUUUGAGAUAAUACAUAGUGAUGUUUGGGGCCCGACUCCUUGUAUUUCUAUUGAAGGCUUCAAAUACUAUGUUACUUUCAUAGAUGAGUGUACUAGGUUUUGUUGGAUUUUCCCAAUAUGCAAUAAAAGUGAAGUUGACACUACUUUUGUCUAUUUCUAUCACUUUGUUGUCAACCAAUUUAAUGCUUCUAUUAAAAUGUUUCAGAGUGAUGGUGGAGGGGAAUAUAUAGGCAAAUCCUUUCAAAAAUUUUUGGUAGACAAAGGCAUUAUUCACCACAUGUCUUGUCCAUAUACCCCAGAGCAAAAUGGGCUUGCCGAGAGGAAACAUAGACACAUUAUUGAGACGUCCAUUACCUUAUUACGAACAGCUUCUUUACCACCUUCAUUUGGUCCUAUGCUUGUCAAGCUUCGGUCUAUCUCAUUAAUAGGAUGCCUUCUUCAACUUUGGAAAAUAAAUCACCUUUUGAGGUCUUGUUUAAUUCCAUUCCUGAGAUUAAUCAUCUUAGAGUAUUUGGUCGUUCAUGCUAUCCUUUGCUUAGACCUUAUAAUCAUACUAAACUGCAACCUCGAACUUCCAAAUGUAUUUUCUUGGGGUAUGCUUCAAAGUAUAAGGGUUAUAUCUGUUUUGAGGUUCACAAAAGAAGAGUGUUUAUAUCUCGUCAUGUUCUAUUUGAUGAGACAAAAUUUCCAUACAUCACUCUAGUUUCUCAAUGCUCCAAAGUAUCUACUCCAUUGCCCAUCAAUUUCACAUUCACACCUGUGUUCACCCCAAAUCUUAAUAAAGUUCUUGUCACACCUCAGUCUAAUUCUGUGCCUACUAUACCAUCAGUCUUUCAUCCACCAAGCCUAGCUUAUGUGCCUCUAUCAGCUGCUGUUAGUUCUCCAGAUUUGCAUGUUCACAGUUCUACUACGGUACAUGAUUCAAGCUCCAGUUUAUCUACGGACACUCUACCCAUUACUGGCACUGCACAGCAAUCCUCUCAUUCCCUACCUGUGGUUCCUGAAUUUCAGGGAGAACAACUUCAAGUGGUUUUGUCUAUACCACCAUUAAACAAUCAUCCUAUGCAGACUCGGUCCAAGAAUGGCAUUUCUAAAAAGAUGCUCUACUAGCUUCUGUUCAUGAAAAUGGGGGUACUGAUCUUACCCAGGUUGAACCUGCCACAUAUAAAUCAGCACUCAAAUCUCCAGAAUGGUUGGCUGUAAUGCAAGAUGAGUUGAGUGCUCUUCAUACACAAGGAACUUAGUCUCUUGUACCUCUUUCUCCUCACAAAAACUUGGUAGGCUGCAAGUGAGUGUUCAAGAUUAAAAAGAAUGUAGAUGGUUCUAUAGGGAGGUAUAAGGCUCGUUUGGUUGCAAAGGGGUUCAAUCAAGAGGAAGGUAUAGACUAUGGCGAGACAUUUAGUCCCGUGGUUAAAUCAACCACUGUGAGGUUAAUGCUUUCUUUGGCUGCUCAUUUUAAUUGGGGUCUUCGCAACUUGAUGUGAAAAACGCUUUUCUGCAUGGUGUCUUACAAGAGGAAGUCUAUAUGGCUCAACCUCCUGGUUUUCUUAAUUCCACACAUAGUGACUAUGUUUGUAAGUUACAUAAGUCCCUAUAUGGUCCCAAGCAAGCCCCAAGGGCUUGGAAUGACAGAUUCACUAGUUUCUUGCCAACUUUGGGUUUUCAAUCCACCUAUAGUGAUUCCUCUUUAUUUGUUAAAGCUGUGAAUGGUACAAUUGUGAUUCUCCUCUUAUAUGUGGAUGACAUUAUCAUCAUGAGGAAUGCAUCUCAAGCAAUAUCAGAUGUUAUACAUGCUCUUACUCAAGAGUUUGAUAUCAAGGACCUCGGACCAUUGCAUUACUUCUUUGGUAUUCAGGUUGUGCAUAAGAAGGAUGGUUUAUUCCUCUCUUAGGACAAAUAUGUUACUGAUUUGCUUAUUAAGUCUGGAAUGGAGUUGUCUAAACCGUGUGCUACUCCUUGCCUACCUUACAAUAGGUUGUUGAAGGAUGAUGGGAAGCCUUACAAUAAUCCAGCUUUAUAUAGAAGCCUUGUAGGCGCACUCCAAUACCUCACCUUUACUCGACCUGAUAUUGCAUUCGCUGUGCAUCAUGUUUGUCAGUUCAUGCAGUGUCCUAUGUAAGCUCACUUUGUGGCAGUUAAACAAAUUCUGAGGUAUCUCAAGGCUACUAAAGGGUGUGGCCUUCAUUACAUCAAAUGAGGAUUGGAUUUACAAGCAUUCAGUGAUGCUGAUUGGGCAGGAGAUCCCAAUGGCAUGAGAUCAACGAUAGGGCUAGUUGUUUUUCUUAGCUCAAACCCUAUCUCAUGGUCCUCCAAGAAACAACAUAAUGUCUCUCGCUCUUCUACUGAAGCUGAAUAUCGCGCACUGUCUUCAACGGCUGCUGAGAUUGAUUGGAUUAAACAAUUGUUACAGUUUCUGCAAGUUCCUGUUUCUGGACCACCUACUCUAUACUGUGAUAAUCUCUCAGCCAUUGCUCUUACGUGUAAUCCUGUCCAAUAUCAGCGCACAAAACAUAUUGAAAUUGAUGUUCAUUUUGUGCGGGAACGGGUGGCAAAACAGGUGCUGUUGGUCCAAUUUGUUUCUUCACUUAAGCAGUUUGUUGACAUAUUCACUAAGGGCUUGUCUGCACCUUUGUUCAAGACUCAUUGUGACAAUCUCAGACUCAGUUUCACUGUCCCUGAGUUUGAGGGGAGAUGUAAGGAGUAGUCAAUCUAAGGGAUAUUCUCUUGACAUGUGUCAUAAGAUUAGGCAAUUAGUUAAGGGUUUGUUAUAUCUGUUAGCUUAGUCUGUAAGCUACCUUAGUUACACAUAUAUAUACUACAAUGUAAAUGUACUAUGUAAUGUGUGUAAAAAGAUUAAUACAAACAAGAUUACUUCUCUCUCUAAGUUCUCUCUUUCUCUCUCUCUCUCUCUCUGUCUCUCUCUCUCUGUCUUUGUAUUCAUCUUCUCUACUACAACAGAUCAUUCUUGCUUAACAGCAGCACCAAGAGAGCAUAGAAGAUCAGCCAAGCCAAGUAGAUGAAAACCAUAAUCGAGUAGAAGAAAACCCUAAUCAAGUUGAGAAAAGUGAAGAAGUUGUGCAAGGUAGUUAUGAACAUGAGAAGGAAGUGUAUAAUCAAGUUCCUAGUGGGUAUGGAUAUUAGGGAAUAUUAUACGAUAUUAUAUGUAAAUAUCUUGUAUUAUAUUUACCUAAAUAGGUUUGAGUCAAAUCCCACUAAAUAUGGGUUACUGUUCCCUAGCCUUUAAUGUAGGGUUGAAUAGUUGACUUGUUAUGUAUAUAUUGUACAACAAUGUAAUAAAUGAAGCAUUCAAUCUGCCAUUAUCAUAGCAUUUUCAGUGUUUAGUCAUUUCAACAUGGUAUCAGAGCAUAAAGUUCUGGUGCCUGAUUGCCUACGUUUUCAACUCUCAUCCUAUUUCCAAACAUCAUGUCAGACACACUUGCUCAACCAUCACCACAAAAACAUCAAAAUAAUAGCAAUAUCGGCAUGGAUUCAUCAAGUCCAUACUACGUUCACCAUUAAGAUAACCCUGGUCAUAUGAUCGUUUUCAGAAAAAUUGAAUGGACCCAAUUAUCCAUCUUGGAAUAAAUCCAUGAUACAUGCUCUCACAGCCAAGAACAAAAUUGGCUUCAUCGAUGGCUCCAUUUAGCCUCCCUCAACAACAGACCAAGCAAAAGAAUAUGCUAUUUGGAAUCAAUGCAACAGUAUGAUUUUGUCAUGGCUUGCUCAAUCAGUCGAAUCCGAUUUAUCUAAAGGAGUUGUUCAUGCCAAAAGUACCCAAAAAGUGUGGGAAGAUUUCAAAGAUCAGUUUUCACAGAAGAAUGCACCAACAAUCUAUCAAAUUCAGAAAUCAAUCGCAUCUCUCUCACAAGGCUCCAUGACAGUCUCGGCUACCUUAAAGGCCUUUGGGAUGAAUUAGAGACAUAUCGACAUCUUCUUAUCUAUGAUCAGACAAAGGCACAUAAUGAGCAAAUAGAAGAAGAUCAGAUGAUGCAAUUUCUUAUGGGUCUCAAUGAUGUCUAUAAUGGAGUUCGCAGUAAUAUCCUUAUGAUGACACCAUAGCCUAAAGUUCGUCAAGCAUAUUCACUUAUCAUUCAAGAUGAAACACAACGACAAAUGACAUCGGGAUCAACCGAAAAUUUCUUAAUCGUUGCUGCAGUCCAAAGUCGAUCAAACCAUUCCUCUGAUAAUUUCAAGAAUCUUCACUGCGAAUAUUGUGAUAAAGAUGGGAACAUAAUUGAAAAUUGUAGGACUCGAAAAUAUUAUUGCAAGUUUUGUGACCAAAGAGGCUGAAACACCCCAACCCUCUUUUAUAUUUUAAAAUUGUUUUAAAGCCUUAAUUGGUGAGCCCGUGGGGCCCACCUUGUUUAUUUUUUUAUAUGUUUUCUGAUCUCUCUCUUCUUCUUCUUCGUCUCUCCCUCCCGUAGCUCACUCCUUCUUAGCUCUCCCGUCUCUCUCUCCCUCAACCUUUCGCAUCUCUCUCUUCUCCUGGACUCACUAGGAUCGAGUCACCAUCGAAGAGAGGCUCGCAACGAACCCCGAACCCUGCCCUGCGAGUUCGACGACACGGAGUAAGCUCCGGCGAGCACCGCCCCUUUCGAGGCCAUUUCCGGCCAAACCACGGCGAGUUGGCCGGCGUUUAAGGUAUCAAUCUCUUCGUCUCGUCGAGUACUACAACUUUCCUUUUUGUUUCACUUAAUUUCGUUAAGUAUUGAAGAAGUUAUACUCAUUUGAAUCUUAUCCAGUUUCCGGCGAGUCCGACGGCUUUCGAGGAAUUUUUCGGCCAAACCACGGCGAGUUAGACGUCGUGAGGUACCAUUCUCUUCGUCUCUUCAAGGGCUACAACUUUCAUUUUUGUCUUGCUUGAUUUCGUUGAGUAUUGACAAAGUUAUGGCCAUUUAAAGUUGGGUGGUUUUCCGGCCGAAAAUUCCGACCUUCUCCUUCGACAAACCCAGGCCAUCCGGCCUUUCCCUCUCCCUCGGGCCUUAGGCCCGUGUUGCCUUAGCCCAGUACCCUAGCCCAUUCAGUUUUUAUUUUUAGUUAUAUGUUUUUAAAACCCAAAGGGCUUGGGCCCUAGUUUUGGUUGGCCUUGGGCCGGUUUUCAACCAAGGGCUUAAAGCCCUGAUUUCUGUAGGAGGCCUUAGGGCCUUGUGUAGUGUGUGUGUGUGUGUGUUAUAGUAUAUGUAUGUGUUUGGGCUAUAUGUAUGUGUUUGGGCUUAAACCCAAACCCCUUUCCUAACCCUAAACCAUUUUAACCCAAAACCUUAGAAAUCCAAACCACCCAUUUUAACCCUAAACCCUUUUAACCUUAGAACCCUAAAUUCAAAACCCAAUAAAUCCUAAUCCUAUUUAACCUAAACCCUAAUCCGGAUUUCAAGCCUAAAACCCGUUAGACCUAAUUUGACCGUUGACCUCCGGUUAACAUUGACUUUAGAGUUGACUUUUCGGGUUUUCGUCCGGGACCCUUCUUAGGGUAAUUCGACGUUCUGAAUCCGUUUCCAACGUCCGUUUUCCCAAAUCCAAUUGCUAUUAUAUAGUUUUAUUAAUUGGACCCUUUAUGUGCUUAGGGGCAAUUAUUGGUGACGUUAGUUUGCGUGGCUCUUCGGCGGCUAAGUACUGUGAGUGGACCCCUUCAAAAGCAUGUUUUAAUAGUAGAAAUGCAUACAUGAAAUGCAUGAUUUAAUGAUUACGUUUUAUGAAACGUUUUGAGAUAACAUGCUUACUGAGGCUACCUUGAAUUAUUACUAUUUUUCCUAUAACCCGUGUUCUUAUAGAAUAUCUGAUGGAUGACGAUAUGAUAUUUAGAACAUGUUUCGAACACCUCUUUAUAGUAUAGAUGAUGAAUGACUUUAUACUAUGAAGUUGUUUUUCAAUAUAUGUAUGUUCAAUGGUUUUGUACUUACCUAGUGGUCCUUUCCGCUACGGGACGUAGGGAUAGAUUCCGGUCCGUCCCGGGCGACGGUUUUUGGUGUUGGCAUAGGGCCUGGAGUGUGUUUCCUCUGGCUAUUUAGCACAGGGACGGGGAGCCGGCAUGGGGCCUGAAGUGUAUUUUCCUCUGACUGUCUGCUCAGAGACGGGGAGCCGGCAUGGGGCCUGCAGGUUAUCGGACAAUUCACUAGUGAUUAUUAUAUAUGAGUUAUGAUUUGAGAUACUGCACAUCAUGCUAGGUUUCGGAAAACCUAUGUUCAUCAUUAUAUAUUUGUUUUCAUAAACCUGGGGGUUAGUAUAUUGAUAACUGUUUUAUUAUAUAUAUAUCAACUUGGUCCACUCAUGUUUGUUUUGCGCCCCCUUCAGGAUUUAGGAUCGAGGCGUACAAUCCCGACAAUCAAGGCACUUCCGCAUCGGCAUCUUCGAGUCCUCUUGGUGUGGGACUCAUUCUUUUAUUCAUUCCAUUUUAUAUCAUUCUUUUAGUGUUCUAGUUAGUUGUAUGCUCUGAACACGUUCCUUAAAUGCAUAUUCCUUAUUCUUUUACAUUUGUAAGUUUUAUCUAUCCUUUAUUUUCAGCAAUUGCACUCAAUAAAUGGCUUUCGUCACCCUCGGGUGUCGGCCAGCACGUGACCAUCCUGAUAUCCCGAGGAUAUCGGGAUCGGGGCGUGUCAGAUUGGUAUCAGAGCGUGGUUUGUUCAGAGCAUACUUAGGGUUCUUUUCUAUUAUCUUAAAGUGUUGGUUUUGACAUCAUUUGGAUGUCACGACUUCCGGAUUUUAUGCUAGUCGGUGCAGUUGUGUGAAUCUCUCUCUGAUUGAAUUGUCACCUUCUUGUUGAAAUUCAAGAAUUCGUGUCGGGAUUGUGCCUCAUCGGUGACGUGUUUGAAUCGUUGGACGACUUUCAGCAUCGGAUCGAUACUCAGCGACGUGUUUUAGAAAUCUCAAUUUGAGGAAUUCUGGUUAAGACCAGCUGUAGAUUUGAAAUGGCGAUGCACUCUGCAACAUGCGUUCCCUAGGAAUUGCGGGCGGAGUCGGCUCUACAUCGAAAUCUUGAGAAACUCCUCAGUAGCAGACGUUAUUCUCAUCAAUUUUCAAAUUGAGUUGCAAUUCUUGUUGUUGUUGUAGUUGGAUUUGGAUGAUGAAUAUCCAGUUUUGUUUGGAUAAACAGAUUCCUUGAAUUUCACCUGGGUUGGGUACCUGGUGGCAAACCCUAGUUCCUCGUCCGCGUACUUUUUGGCGAAUGUGAACUUAGUCUAUUGCUUGCAGCCUAAAUGUUCAGUCUUGUAAUUUUCGUUGUAAUGGCUUGAGACUCUACCAUGUUUAUCAUUGUACGAAGAUCGAACUUUACUCUAAACUUCUCUGGACUCAUUGAGCUUUGGUUUGCUCAAGAGCAUCACUUUAAGGUAGCCAAUCGUGUCACUGCAUGCAUACGCAGGUUGCUUUGUAUCUUUCUUCUUCGUCAUUCUGCUGAUUCAGAGGUUCUAUGUUUAAUUUCUGAACUUUGAAACAACUCUCACAUAGUAUUGUGAAUCUCGUAAUGUUUUUGACCUCGUCAAAUCUUAUUAUCAGUUCUUAACUAUCCUUGAGCUUAGCCCUAUUUCCUUUUGGCUAAGAACCAGUUGACCAUACUGUGAUGAUUUGCAAAAUAAUCAGAAACAAUGACUCUAUUUCUGCAUCUUUAUCUUCCUUCGCUUGUUGGUUCUCAAUGUAAAAUUGAAUCAUGCCGGAACAAUAUGAGCUUGUUCUUGGCGUGGUUUCUGGUUCAAAUCCUGAUUUCUUGUAAUCUAUCUUUUUAUGGACUUGUUUUGAUCCUCAAAUUCUUGAGUAUUCUUUUAGCCUUCUCGACAUGGUUUCUCGCCUAACCAGUGAGAAAUUCACAAUCGAUCGUUUCGGUGAAAGUGGGCACCCAGUUCGUGUUGAUUCGGACAUGAAUGUUGGGAGCAUAAUCUUUUCACAAGCUUACCAGACUUACCAUAAAGAAUUCCAUGUGGGUAUGAGGUUUAAGCUGUAUUUUGGUAAGAGACUGGUGAAGAUUUUGGUGCAGAAGGUCAGCAUAUUGUAUCACCAUCUUACUAGAAUUCAUAGGCAUCACAUUGGUUAUUUUCCAACUAUAUGUGUUCGUCUCGACGCAUAUUUCCACUGCUUCAUUUCUGAACCUUAUUAUUGUGAGUACGUGGUUGUUAAAACAUUUCUAGCAGAUAUGUUUGGUGCAUUCUGAGAUGGCACUACAGGACGGUCGAAGCGAGAAUUGGAUAAUCUUUACACUUCUCUCGAAAUGUGCGUGUUGUCUUUGGUUGUUAGGAUGACCAUUUGCGAGUCGUUCUUCUUCCACCAACUUUGAUCUUGUUUGACUUGAAAUCUGCAACUAAGCAAAAAUGGAGAGGUGGAUUGAGCACCACAACAGUUCGUAAGAGAUACUGCGUGUUGAGGAAGAUGACUUCUCGUUUUCUGCUUGCUUGAUUUGAGCUUUUGGGUCUACUACUAACAUGGUAGCCACUUCUCUUGAAUCCCAAGGUACAAUUUUCAAAUGGGUUCCUUACUGGUGAAAUUCUGAAGUAGUUGGUCACAUUUGGAAGAACUGAGGAGGAUAGGAUGCUUGGUGCUGGAUAGAGUGUUACGACGACAGUUUCUGUUUUGUUCGGUUUGGUGUAUGGUACUUUUUACGACCUGGUACGAUAGUUUUUCAUGGAAAACACUGGUUGACUGAAAAGUCUUGCGAACUUGUAUUUGGAGGAUCGAUCCUACGAUAUGUGAAAUUGUACACCAUUUGAGAAAUUACUACUUGCCUAUCGAGACAACAAAUGUGAGGUCGAUAUUGCGGGCUGCAGACUGUGAUAUCGAUAGCUUAUUUGGUGGGUUCGUUAAGCAAGUGGGGCAAGAAGAUUCGUCUACAGCAGCUGAUGCAGAUUCAGAAUUUGUAUUUCUUAGGACUCGACCUAAAGGCACAUCUAUUCUCGGAAUAUAUGACAUUUCGAAUUCUUGGGCGAGACCCACUCUCAUUUUUCAGUUUUGAUUUUCAGUAUAAGUAUUUUGAACUCCCUUUACUCUAGUUAAUUGUUUUGGCGUUACAAAUGUUUUUGGAAAAGUAUUUAUGUUUUCAUUUUUAAGUUGAUUCGAGUUUUUGAACUAUAUGUUAGUACAUAUCUAUUUUGACGUUAUCUGGCCUUAAGCUAUUUUGUGUUUUCAACUUUAUAUUUUAUUAAAAUAUGUGUUUUAUUUUUACACUGAUGGAAAAAAAAAAAAAAAAAAAGUUUGAGCCUGGAGGCACGAAAGAUGGAAUCAUUGCAGCCGAUCGCGACGGCGUGGCAUUUUCCCUUUUGUGAAACCGCUCUUACCUGAUCUUUUCGUUACAUAUAUAUAUAUUAUUCUUCUUCCUAUUUUCAAGUAUUUUCGGUGUAGUAUGUUGUUUUAAAUUUCGAGGACGAAAUUUUUUUAUAAGGGUGGUAGAUUGAAACACCCCAACCCUCUUUUAUAUUUUAAAAUUGUUUUAAAGCCUUAAUUGGUGAGCCCGUGGGGCCCACCUUGUUUAUUUUUUUAUAUGUUUUCUGAUCUCUCUCUUCUUCUUCUUCGUCUCUCCCUCCCGUAGCUCACUCCUUCUUAGCUCUCCCGUCUCUCUCUCCCUCAACCUUUCGCAUCUCUCUCUUCUCCUGGACUCACUAGGAUCGAGUCACCAUCGAAGAGAGGCUCGCAACGAACCCCGAACCCUGCCCUGCGAGUUCGAUGACACGGAGUAAGCUCCGGCGAGCACCGCCCCUUUCGAGGCCAUUUCCGGCCAAACCACGGCGAGUUGGCCGGCGUUUAAGGUAUCAAUCUCUUCGUCUCGUCGAGUACUACAACUUUCCUUUUUGUUUCACUUAAUUUCAUUAAGUAUUGAAGAAGUUAUACUCAUUUGAAUCUUACCCAGUUUCCGGCGAGUCCGACGGCUUUCGAGGAAUUUUCCGGCCAAACCACGGCGAGUUAGACGUCGUGUGAGGUACCAUUCUCUUCGUCUCUUCAAGGGCUACAACUUUCAUUUUGUCUUGCUUGAUUUCGUUGAGUAUUGACAAAGUUAUGGCCAUUUAAAGUUGGGUGGUUUUCCGGCCGAAAAUUCCGACCUUCUCCUUCGACAAACCCAGGCCAUCCGGCCUUUCCCUCUCCCUCGGGCCUUAGGCCCGUGUUGCCUUAGCCCAGUACCCUAGCCCAUUCAGUUUUUAUUUUUAGUUAUAUGUUUUUAAAACCCAAAGGGCUUGGGCCCUAGUUUUGGUUGGCCUUGGGCCGGUUUUCAACCAAGGGCUUAAAGCCCUGAUUUCUGUAGGAGGCCUUAGGGCCUUGUGUAGUGUGUGUGUGUGUGUGUUUAUAGUAUAUGUAUGUGUUUGGGCUAUAUGUAUGUGUUUGGGCUUAAACCCAAACCCCUUUCCUAACCCUAAACCAUUUUAACCCAAAACCUUAGAAAUCCAAACCACCCAUUUUAACCCUAAACCCUUUUAACCUUAGAACCCUAAAUUCAAAACCCAAUAAAUCCUAAUCCUAUUUAACCUAAACCCUAAUCCGGAUUUCAAGCCUAAAACCCGUUAGACCUAAUUUGACCGUUGACCUCCGGUUAACAUUGACUUUAGAGUUGACUUUUCGGGUUUUCGUCCGGGACCCUUCUUAGGGUAAUUCGACGUUCUGAAUCCGUUUCCAACGUCCGUUUUCCCAAAUCCAAUUGCUAUUAUAUAGUUUUAUUAAUUGGACCCUUUAUGUGCUUAGGGGCAAUUAUUGGUGACGUUAGUUUGCGUGGCUCUUCGGCGGCUAAGUACUGUGAGUGGACCCCUUCAAAAGCAUGUUUUAAAUAGUAGAAAUGCAUACAUGAAAUGCAUGAUUUAAUGAUUACGUUUUAUGAAACGUUUUGAGAUAACAUGCUUACUGAGGCUACCUUGAAUUAUUACUAUUUUUCCUAUAACCCGUGUUCUUAUAGAAUAUCUGAUGGAUGACGAUAUGAUAUUUAGAACAUGUUUCGAACACCUCUUUAUAGUAUAGAUGAUGAAUGACUUUAUACUAUGAAGUUGUUUUUCAAUAUAUGUAUGUUCAAUGGUUUUGUACUUACCUAGUGGUCCUUUCCGCUACGGGACGUAGGGAUAGAUUCCGGUCCGUCCCGGGCGACGGUUUGGUGUUGGCAUAGGGCCUGGAGUGUGUUUCCUCUGGCUAUUUAGCACAGGGACGGGGAGCCGGCAUGGGGCCUGAAGUGUAUUUUCCUCUGACUGUCUGCUCAGAGACGGGGAGCCGGCAUGGGGCCUGCAGGUUAUCGGACAAUUCACUAGUGAUUAUUAUAUAUGAGUUAUGAUUUGAGAUACUGCACAUCAUGCUAGGUUUCGGAAAACCUAUGUUCAUCAUUAUAUAUUUGUUUUCAUAAACCUGGGGGUUAGUAUAUUGAUAACUGUUUUUAUUAUAUAUAUAUCAACUUGGUCCACUCAUGUUUGUUUUGCGCCCCCUUCAGGAUUUAGGAUCGAGGCGUACAAUCCCGACAAUCAAGGCACUUCCGCAUCGGCAUCUUCGAGUCCUCUUGGUGUGGGACUCAUUCUUUUAUUCAUUCCAUUUUAUAUCAUUCUUUUAGUGUUCUAGUUAGUUGUAUGCUCUGAACACGUUCCUUAAAUGCAUAUUCCUUAUUCUUUUACAUUUGUAAGUUUUAUCUAUCCUUUAUUUUCAGCAAUUGCACUCAAUAAAUGGCUUUCGUCACCCUCGGGUGUCGGCCAGCACGUGACCAUCCUGAUAUCCCGAGGAUAUCGGGAUCGGGGCGUGUCAGAGGCCACACUGAAGACAGAUGUCGAAUAAAAAAUGGGACCGAUGGCUCUAGUCUUGGGGGAAACCAAGAUAGGAAAUACAUCAACAAGUCAUACUCCCAUGGGUCUCAUAACAACAAUUCACGUGUUGCCUUUCCUACUGCAAAUGCAGCUGCUACAUCCUUCUCUCUUGCUGCCAACACAGCACAUGGUCCUCAUCUUGCUACCACUACAUCAGUUGCCCCUUCCCAAUCACACAUGUCUCAAUCAAAUGCUCUGCAAGGGCUUUCAGCAGAACAUCUUCAACAGUUGGCCCAAGCUGUAUCCAUGAUAAAUUUAAACCAUACUUCUCCCUUUUCAAUAAAAUCGAACCUUCACCUAUAUCUACUGUUAAAUUACCCACCGGCUCUUCAGCCACAAUCACUUCCGCCAGCACCAUACCGUUCAAUUUCGAUAUCACAUUAGAUAAUGUUUUGUGUGUUCCUUCUUUUCACUUAAAUCUCAUGUCUGCUAGCCAAGUCACUGAUUCUCUAAACUAUUGUGCCAUUUUGUUUCCCACCUUUUGUGUCUUGCAGGACUUGGCUACGGGGAAGAUGAUUGGAUCGGGUACGCAACGUGAUGGUCUUUAUUAUAUGUCGCCGUUGCAACGGAUGCCCAUCUCCUGUCAAGUUUCCCACUCCACCAAUUUAUGGCAUAUGCGACUUGGCCAUCCUUCGCCUACUCGCCUUAAAUUAGUAUUUCCCUCGUUAUUCUCGAAUAAUAUUUCUUUUGAUAAUAAUUGUAACAUUUGUCCCAUAGCCAAACAAACUAGACUUCCGUUUCCUUCAAGUUUUAUAUCCACUCAUAAUCCAUUUGAUUUACUUCAUUAUGAUAUUUGGGGACCUCAUAAAAUUCCCACGCAUUCAGGAGCUCGAUUCUUUCUCACCAUUGUGGAUGAUUUUACUAGAUGCACAUGGAUAUUUUUGAUGAAAUAUAAAUCUGAAACGCAAGACCUUUUAAAAUCGUUUAUUACCUUUGCUCAUACUCAAUUUCAUGCCAAAAUUAAAGCCAUACGAGUCGACAAUGGGUCUGAAUUUUUGUCCAUGAAAGUUUUUUUCCAAACCAAUGACAUUGAAUAUCAACGCACCUGUGUCUACACCCCGCAACAAAAUGGGGUUGUCGAACGUAAGCAUAGACACAUCCUCACCAUUGCACGUAGCUUACUAUUUCAAUCUCACUUACCCCUUUCUUUUUGGGGCGAAUGUGUUUCCACUGCUGUCUACCUCAUUAAUCGAUUACCAUCCCCUUUGUUAUCCAAUAAAUCUCCUUUCGAAUCAUUAUACAAGUGUUCACCAUCUUUUGAUCACUUGAAAAAUUUUGGUUGUUUGUGCUUCUCCACUAUUGUUCAUCCCACAUACAAAUUUGACCCUCGUGCUAGGCGUUGUAUUUUUGUUGGUUACCCAACUGGUCAGAAGUGUUACAAACUUUAUGAUUUGGAGUCUAAAACCUUCUUUGUCAGUCGUGAUGUUAAAUUUUUUGAACACACAUUUCCUUUCCACUCUAUGUCCCCGUCACCCCCUGAGGAUAUCCCUGCCAUACCGUCCAUUCCCAUCUCAACUGACACACUUGACCUCUCCCACAUGGCCCCCCAUAACCCUUCCAUUCCACCACUCACGGACCCUACCCACAUUCCUAUUUCACCUCCCAUCACUUCUUCCACCCCAUCUCAUCCUGAAGCCAUCCCAUCUUCUCCUGGACCCCACCUCUCCAUCAAUCAUCCUUCACCCCUCCAUCACAUUUCUAACCCCCCAUCAGACUCUCUCCUUCCCUACACCGAACCUACCCUCCAUUCCCACCCCAUUCCGUCCGAUACUUCUUCUCCUCUCGCCACAUCAUCCUCUCCACCCCCAUGCCAGUCCCAUCGUCCUAAGCAACCUCCGAUUUGGCAUAAAAACUAUCACGUUACUAAUCAAGUCAGUCAUUUUCCUUUGCAGCCUCGUGUUCCCUCAGGUACUCGGUAUCCUCUUUCUAAUUUUCUUUCCUACUCACGUCUUUCUCCUACCCACUGUGCUUUUCUAGCUACCAUUACAAGUUCUAUCGAGCCUACUUCAUAUGCUUAGGCUAUCCUUGAUCCCAAUUGGCGACAGGCUAUGCAUGUUGAAUUAGAGGCUUUACAACACAAUAAUACAUGGAGCAUGGUUCCCCUCCCUGCUGGUCAUAAACCUAUUGGAUGCAAAUGGGUUUAUAAAAUCAAAUACAAGUCUGAUGGUACCAUUGAGCGGUACAAGGCUCGUCUUGUUGCAAAAGGAUACACUCAAGUUGAGGGCAUCGACUAUCAUGAAACUUUUUCUCCUACUGCCAAACUCACAACUCUCCGCUGUCUCCUUACGGUAGAUGCUUCCCGUCAUUGGUUCGUCCAUCAAUUAGAUGUUCAAAAUGCCUUUUUACAUGGUGAUUUGCAUGAGCUUGUCUUUAUGGAACAUCCUCCUGGUAUUCGCCGACAGGGAGAGAACGUUGUAUGUCGGCUCAACAAAUCUCUCUACGGACUCAAACAGGCUUCUAGAAAUUGGUUUUCCACAUUUUCAGCUACUAUUCAGAAAGCUGGCUAUCAACAAUCAAAAGUUGAUUAUUCUCUUUUUACCAAGGCUCAAGGUACUUCAUUCAUUGUUGUCCUCAUCUAUGUAGAUGACAUACUUCUUACAGGAAAUGAUCUUCAAGAGAUGGAACGACUCAAAACAUUUCUCCUCACACGCUUCCGCAUCAAAGACCUUGGUGAUUUAAAAUAUUUUUUGGGGAUUGAAUUCUCUCGUUCUAAAAAAGGCAUUUUCAUGUCUCAAAGAAAAUAUGCACUAGAUAUUUUGCAGGAUUCUGGGCUUACGAGGGCACGUCCAUACAAGUUUCCAAUGGAACAAAAUUUGAAACUUGUUGAUGCACAAAACCGGAUGUCUUGGAACAACGUAAAUCCGACCGUGAAUCUGCAAGUAAUGUAAAUGACACAAGAGUUAUCGUGGUUCACCCCAAGGUUUGGGCUACGUCCACACUGAAUAUGUAUUUAUCUGAGAGUAUUUGUGAGAGAAGGAACUCUGUGAGUGAAGAGCUUUGAGAGGGGAUGAGAAGGCUCCAGAAAUUGGCCUCCGAGAGUGAGAGUGAGCUCCCCUUAGAAUGAGGGUAGGAGUCCCCUUUUAUAGAAUAAGGGGCUCCUCCUCCUUUACAAAGUAUGGGCUUUAGUGUGAGGCCCAAAUACAAGGCCCAAGGCCCAAAUAUACGAGGCCCUAAAUAUGGUAUAAACAGUAGUCCCCCAAGUCUUCAGUCAAGAGAGUCUUUUGGCUGGAGACUUGAAAUUCAGUCCAUGUGUGGGCCGAAGUAACUGAUGCUCGAUAUGAGGCGGUGCCCAAUCUGAAAUGAUGCUCAACUAGAAGUAGCACAUGCUGUGAGGCUGCUCGGCUCGUGGCUUAUGUUGCCUUGGUUAGCUCGACUUGCGGCGUUUAAAGGUGAGGGAGUCCCUUUUAUAGAAUAAGGGCUCGCUCCUCAAUACAUGAAUGAUGGGCUAGAGUUGAUGCUCUCUAAUGAUGGUGAGGGAGUCCCUUUUAUAGAAUAAGGGUUCACUCCUCAGUACAUGAAUAAUGGGUGCUCUCUAAUGAAAGUGAGGGAUUCCUUUUUAUAGAAUAAGGGCUCACUCCUCAAUACAUAAGUGAUGGGCUAGAGUCCCCCAAAUAUUUUUCAUGAGGCCCAGUUGAGGCCCAAUAUAUGGUACAUAAUGUAGUCCCCCAAGUCUUCGGUCAAUAGAGUCUGUUGGCUGGAGACUUCAAAUUGAAUCCAUGUAUGGGCCGAAGUGGCGGUUGUUCGGAGGCGGUCUUUGUAGACCAUGCACUGAAGCUUUGUAAGUGAAGCUUUGCAAGUGAAGCUUUGCAAGUGAAGCUUUGAAGCUAUAGCUCUGUAAAUGAAGUCUUUGAAGCUAGAGCUCUGUAAAUGAAGCUUUUGAAGCUAGAGCUUCUUGUAAAUGAAGCUUUUGAAGCUAGAGCUCUUGUAAAUGAAGUCUUUGAAGCUAGAGCUCUGUAAAUGAAGUCUUUGAAGCUGAUUGACAUGAGUGAUGCUCAUGAAUGUUUAUGUUGAUUGACAUGAGUGAUGCUCAUGGAUGUUGUCAUGAGUGAUGCUCAUGAAUGUUGACAUGAAUGAUGGUCAUGAAUGUUUAUGUAUGAUUAUCAUGAGUGAUGCUCAUGAAUGUCUAUGUAUGAAUGACAUGAGUAAUGCUCAUGUAUAAUUUGGAGUACUUGGCGUACUUUUGAUCGCCUGGUUGGAGCUAUUUUGGGCUUAUGGGUUUUCGCCCUCUACACAACAUUCCAGCCCAUUUACUUUGGGCUUUGCCCCUUUUUUUUUUCUUUUUUACCCUCUGAUGGGGUUUAUACAGAUGUCAUUUCUCACUUGUUAUGACUGAUACAAGAUUAAUCCCUUUCCCACUUGCAAAUUUGAAUGCUGCUUCCUCCGUGAGAAUCUUCAAAAGUGCAUAAACCCAUCCACUUGCUUUUCUUGUUUUUGUUUCUUUUUUUUUUCUUUUCACUUUUGCUUUGCACUGUGUCUGUCUUUUACUUUCUUCUUUUUCGACAAGAUGAUGGACGGAAAUGAAGCUUUUGAAGGAUGACCCCUGCUUCGAGUGGUGUCCCCGUGCUUUUGCAUGUUUAUUCCUUGCUUUUCUUUCUUCUUUUCUCUUUUCCUUUUUUCUUUUGCUUUCUCAGAAAAUGAAGAUGCAUGAGAUGGGUCAUUGAUCUCAUCCAGCAGGUUGUCUGCAGCAUACAGAGCAUUUUUUAUUUGAAAAACCUGUCGCUGUGGAUGUCAUUCUUUUGAGAAAGCAAGCACUCGAGAAUGCAUUCCUUGCAAAAGACGUGGCCUUUCUGGCAGCGCAUGGGGUCGAUGAAGGGUUUGAGGCAGAGGCAGCAGGCGUCGAAGGGCUUGAUGGAGUCUCUGUCGAGCCAUUCCCUCUGGGUUCCAUAGCUGAGCUUCUUCUUCUCGUCGUAGGUGAAGAAAGCGAGGUCGUUGUUGUUCUUCGAGUGCUUCUGCGACAUCUUUUCGAAUUGAAUUAAAAUCUACUCUUCUGAUCGUGGAUUUUAAUUUUUCGAAUUUUUGAUUAGGGAGAAGUCAUCCGUAGCUGCUUUUGCUCUGAGCUGGAGAAAUGCUCUACUACUGAGUCAACCCGCUCACCGAGUCAUCCUUCACUGUUUCCUCAGACAGCAAUUCACUGUCGACAGAAAAAUUCACUCGACAACGGGUCCGCCGAAUCACGACAGAUCUUAUUGAAUUGGGCCACUGAUCUGCUCGCUGAGUUCAGCUAUUGCUUGUGGUUAAUUAGAAUUUGAACUCGUGAUUUCAGUGAAAUGGAUCGGCAGGCGAUGACGGUUGGGCUGGCCAUGGAUACAUCGAUCAUGCACGAUAGCGACCGGUAUGAUUUCGUCCGAGAUAUUGGGUCUGGAAACUUUCAAGGUCACCAGGCUGAUGCGGACAGGCAGACUAGGGAACUCGUCGCCGUCAAGUACGUGGCAAUAAAAUUGAUGAAAAUGUUCGAAGAGAGAUAAUAAAUCAUAGGUCUUUGAGGCACCUGAACAUCAUCAGAUUCAAGGAGGUUAUUCUUACUCCUACCCAUCUGACCAUUGUGAUGGAAUAUGCUUCUGAAGGAGAUGGCAGACGGCGGCGCUGGUAUGCGCGUCUGUGCAUGAGGAGAGGGUUUGGGCGAUGCAUCCUCGUCGCCGAAGUCUGCCAUGGGAAUGAGAAGCUCGCGAUCUCACGGUUCUCUGUCUCUGCUCGCCAUUACAAUCGAUGAUGACGACUUCUCAUCGCCCAUCACCAGCAGACCCCUAAUUGAUAUACGACGCCGUUCCAACGCCGCAACGCGGGGCCUUUUUUUUUGUCGAAUAAUUUUGGCACCGACGAGUAGAGAUCGGAGCUCAGCUUCCUCUCUUCGGAUGACUUGGGUGCCUCCUGCAAGCCCGAGCCAGCCGAAGAACAUCGGGUCCUGAAGGGGCUGGUGCUACUGAUGGGUGCACCCUUGUCGGGUUUGGGAUCGGGAAGAGGAAGACGACAGCGGAUCUUAUGCGGUGGACGAGAGAGGGAGUGGGAGUGAGUGAGAUCAUAAUCUGGAAUUUGGAUCUGGAAUCGUUUGUUUCUCUUUGUUUUGGGUUUUUGUGAUUUUGCAGAUUCACGGUGGAGGUGAAAAAUGAAAAAGAACCGACACAACUUUUCGUAUCGAUUCCCACAGACGGCGCCAAAUGUUGAUGCACAAAACCGGAUGUCUUGGAACAACGUAAAUCCGACCGUGAAUCUGCAAGUAAUGUAAAUGACACAAGAGUUAUCGUGGUUCACCCCAAGGUUUGGGCUACGUCCACACUGAAUAUGUAUUUAUCUGAGAGUAUUUGUGAGAGAAGGAACUCUGUGAGUGAAGAGCUUUGAGAGGGGAUGAGAAGGCUCCAGAAAUUGGCCUCCGAGAGUGAGAGUGAGCUCCCCUUAGAAUGAGGGUAGGAGUCCCCUUUUAUAGAAUAAGGGGCUCCUCCUCCUUUACAAAGUAUGGGCUUUAGUGUGAGGCCCAAAUACAAGGCCCAAGGCCCAAAUAUACGAGGCCCUAAAUAUGGUAUAAACAAAACUCACUCCCACUGAUGGAGCUUUGUUAGAUGAUCCCACCAAGUACAGAAGACUAGUCGGACGAUUGAUUUAUCUUACUGUCACCAGGCCUGACAUAGUCUUUUCAGUUCGCACAUUGAGUCAAUUUAUGCAUGAGCCCCACAAACCUCAUUGGGAUGCAGCUUUACGAAUUCUCAGGUAUAUCAAAGGCACUCCUAGUCAAGGCUUGUUAUUCUCUGCCUCUGAUAAUCUUGAGUUAAAGGCUUUUUGUGAUUCUGACUGGGGAGGUUGUCGUGCAACUAGAAGGUCAGUUACAGGGUAUUGUGUUUUUCUUGGAAAUUCUCUCAUCUCAUGGAAGUCCAAGAAACAAGACAAUGUUUCCAGAUCGUCUGCAAAAGCUGAAUAUCGGGCUAUGGCGAACACAUGUUUAGAAUUAACUUGGUUGCGCUAUAUAUUGCAAGAUUUGCAGGUUCCGCAAAAGGCUCCCAUACCAUUAUUUUGCGACAAUCAAGCCGCCCUGUAUAUUGCAGCUAAUCCCGUUUUUCAUGAGCGGACAAAGCAUAUUGAAAUUGAUUGUUACAUUGUUCGAGAAAAACUGCAAGCUGGAAUGAUUAGUCCUUCACAUAUUCCCACACGUUUCCAGUUAGCAGAUUUAUUUACUAAGGCCUUGGGGAAAGAUCACUUUGAGACAUUACGCAACAAGUUGGGACUUCAUAACAUUCACUCUCCAACUUGAGGGGGAGUAUUAGGAAAUAUUAUACGAUAUUAUAUGUAAAUAUCUUGUAUUAUAUUUACCUAAAUAGGUUUGAGUCAAAUCUCACCAAAUAUGGGUUAUUGUUCCCUAGCCUUUAAUGUAGGGUUGAAUAGUUGACUUGUUAUGUAUAUAUUGUACAACAAUGUAAUAAACGAAGCAUUCAAUCUGCCAUUCUCAUAGCAUUUUUAGUGUUCAGUCAUUUCAACAAUGGAUUGGAAGCCAUGGAUAUUUGUGAGAGUUUGUUUGGGUACUGGCCUUGCCUUGCUCGUGAUUUCAAGAGAGGCAAUGGAAAUGGUGAUUCUUGCUAUGAAUUUGGUAGUGAUGAAGGAAGAUAUGGAAAUACAUUGAAAUGAACUGCAGAUUGUCUUUUCGGAAGCUCAAAUUCGUAUGGUGAAAUAAGGGAUGAUGGAAACAACUAUUUACAGUAGGCAGGGUUGAGCAUGAGGAGGAUUUACUGAUGGGUAAAUUGAAGAUGUUUUGGAGAUUGUAAGAUAUCUGGCUUGUGGUUGUCCACAACUUUUUCAAGUCAGAGGCUUUGAUUGUGACUUUGUACGAAUGAAUAAUUAUGUUGGACAAAACCUUCUUAAUCAAUACUUGGUAUAAAUUGUUCAAAAAAAAAAAAAAAA